rnacentral:ncRNA from 2 species
GGAAUCCACUAGGGGUGCAAACCGCUGAGAGAGAUGUUUUUUAGCAUCUUAACCCUCAUUCACCUGAUCUAGGUAAUACUAGCGAAGGGAAGUGGCCAUCGUCAUUA